rnacentral:rRNA from 1 species
GAUGAACGCUGGCGGCGUGCCUAAUACAUGCAAGUCGAGCGAACAGACGAGAGUGCUUGCACUCUCUGACGUUAGCGGCGGACGGGUGAGUAACACGUGGGUAACCUACCUAUAAGACUGGGAUAACUUCGGGAAACCGGAGCUAAUACCGGAUAAUAUUUAGCUUCGCAUGAAGCAAUAGUGAAAGACGGUUCUGCUGUCACUUAUAGAUGGACCCGCGGUGUAUUAGCUAGUUGGUGAGGUAACGGCUCACCAAGGCAACGACACAUAGCCGACCUGAGAGGGUGAUCGGCCACACUGGGACUGAGACACGGCCCAGACUCCUACGGGAGGCAGCAGUAGGGAAUCUUCCGCAAUGGACGAAAGUCUGACGGAGCAAUGCCGCGUGAGUGAAGAAGGUUUUCGGAUCGUAAAACUCUGUUGUAAGGGAAGAACAAGUACGUUAGUAACUGAACGUACCUUGACGGUACCUUACCAGAAAGCCACGGCUAACUACGUG